rnacentral:rRNA from 1 species
UCUGUGAUGCCCUUAGAUGUCCUGGGCCGCACGCGCGCUACACUGACACAUGCAGCGAGUUCUCCUUGUCCGAAAGGUCUGGGUAAUCUUGUAAAUAUGUGUCGUGAUAGGGAUGAUUAUUGCAAUUAUUAAUCUUGAACGAGGAAUUCCUAGUAAAUGCGGGUCAUCAGCUCGCGUUGAUUACGUCCCUGCCCUUUGUACACACCGCCCGUCGCACCUACCGAUUGAAUGAUUCGAUGAAUUUUUCGGACUGUGAUAAGGAACCUUCGGGCUCCUUGUUAUGGGAAGUUAUUUAAAUCUCAUCAUUUAGAGGAAGGUG